rnacentral:rRNA from 1 species
CCUACGGGAGGCAGCAGUGAGGAAUUUUCCGCAAUGGGCGAAAGCCUGACGGAGCAAUACCGCGUGAGGGAUGAAGGAUUUUGGUCUGUAAACCUCUUUUCUCAAGAAAGAAGUUCUGACGGUACUUGAGGAAUAAGCAUCGGCUAACUCCGUGCCAGCAGCCGCGGUAAUACGGGGGAUGCAAGCGUUAUCCGGAAUGAUUGGGCGUAAAGCGCCUGUAGGUUGUUUAUUAAGUCCGUUGUUAAAGCCUAGGGCUUAACCCUAGAAAAGCAAUGGAAACUAGUAGACUAGAGUAUGGCAGGGGUAGAGGGAAUUUCUAGUGUAGCGGUGAAAUGCGUAGAUAUUAGAAAGAACACCGGUGGCGAAAGCGCUCUACUGGACCAUUACUGACACUCAGAGGCGAAAGCUAGGGUAGCAAAAGGGAUUAGAUACCCCUGUAGUCCUAGCCGUAAACGAUGGAUACUAGAUGUUGUGCAUUAUGUACAGUAUCGUAGCUAACGCGUUAAGUAUCCCGCCUGGGGAGUACGCUCGCAAGGGUGAAACUCAAANANAUAGAGCGNGAGANGCGAGACGACACGAGGAGAG